AUUGAACGCUGGCGGCAUGCCUUACACAUGCAAGUCGAACGGCAGCGCGGGAGCAAUCCUGGCGGCGAGUGGCGAACGGGUGAGUAAUAUAUCGGAACGUGCCCAGUAGCGGGGGAUAACGCAGCGAAAGCUGUGCUAAUACCGCAUACGCACUACGGUGGAAAGAGGGGGAUCGCAAGACCUCUCACUAUUGGAGCGGCCGAUAUCAGAUUAGCUUGUUGGCGGGGUAAAAGCCCACCAAGGCGACGAUCUGUAGCUGGUAUGAGAGAACGAAGAGCCACACUGGGACUGGCCCAGGGCCCAGACUCCUACGGGAGGCAGGGGUGGGAAAUUGUGGACAAUGGGCGCAAGCCUGAUCCGGCCAUGCCGCGUGCGGGAAGACGGCCUGCGGGUUGUAAACCGCUUUUGUUCGGGAAGAAAUUGACUGGGCUAAUACCCUGGUCGGAUGACGGUACCGAAAGAAUAAGCACCGGCUAACUACGUGCCAGCCGCCGCCGUAA
rnacentral:rRNA from 1 species